UGUUCUGUGGACAGUGGACUGUCCAUCAUGACUAAGACCCUCCCCUUUCCAAGUAUAUAAGGGCCUUGACUCUCUUCUCCCUCCAAACCAAACCAGGCAGAACAAAGAGUACUGAUUGAGUCAUCAGCCUGUUCUUCUGUCAGCCAAUCACCACCUCAGCAAAGAUGGCGUCGGGCGUUCCGUUAGCUUUGUUGCUCUGUUUGUCCAUCGGACUGUUGGCUCCAUCUGUAAGUAAACAACUAAAAACUAUGUGUUGUACAUGCAGUGUAAUGCAGUGGUUUCCCAGCCUGUAAGAUUAUGAGACAGUGAUUUAAUAAUGUUACUAGUUUUAAUGUAGGCUGAGUGCAAACUGGAAGCUGAAAUAUUAGAUAAGUUUGUUCUAUGAAGCACGUUGGGCUGCAUGUUUGUAUCAAAGAUAAUGUAUAAAUAAAGUUAAGUAGAGUAGUCCUGUAAUCAGACUGCUUGUGUUUAACACGUCUUUUUGUGAUCACAGUGUCGUGGAGAAACUAACUCCACCUGCCCAGGUC